AUGGUGCUUGCAGAAAUGCUUGCACGGCGGCGGCCUUAAAACGCGCCAAAUGGCACCCUUUGUUUACGAGUACCGUUCGUUUCCUCGGUGGGCUUGCCUGCCAUGAGGACCAACAAAAACCUUUUGUAGUAGCAGUAUCUUCAGUAAAAACAAAUAUUA
rnacentral:misc_RNA from 1 species